rnacentral:rRNA from 1 species
UACGAAGGGGGCUAGCGUUGCUCGGAAUCACUGGGCGUAAAGCGUGCGUAGGCGGACUCUUAAGUCGGUGGUGAAAUCCUGGAGCUCAACUCCAGAACUGCCUUCGAUACUGAGAGUCUCGAGUCCGGGAGAGGUGAGUGGAACUGCGAGUGUAGAGGUGAAAUUCGUAGAUAUUCGCAAGAACACCAGUGGCGAAGGCGGCUCACUGGCCCGGUACUGACGCUGAGGUGCGAAAGCGUGGGGAGCAAACAGG